CCUACGGGAGGCAGCAGUGAGGAAUAUUGGUCAAUGGACGAGAGUCUGAACCAGCCAAGUAGCGUGAAGGAUGACUGCCCUAUGGGUUGUAAACUUCUUUUAUAUGGGAAUAAAAUAGGGCACGCAUAGGCUUUUGUAUGUACCAUAUGAAUAAGGAUCGGCUAACUCCGUGCCAGCAGCCGCGGUAAUACGGAGGAUCCGAGCGUUAUCCGGAUUUAUUGGGUUUAAAGGGAGCGUAGGUGGAUUGUUAAGUCAGUUGUGAAAGUUUGCGGCUCAACCGUAAAAUUGCAGUUGAAACUGGCAGUCUUGAGUACAGUAGAGGUGGGCGGAAUUCGUGGUGUAGCGGUGAAAUGCUUAGAUAUCACGAAGAACUCCGAUUGCGAAGGCAGCUCACUGGACUGCAACUGACACUGAUGCUCGAAAGUGUGGGUAUCAAACAGGAUUAGAUACCCGUGUAGUC
rnacentral:rRNA from 1 species